UUUUUUCAAACAUGUCUUAUUGAAUUUUUAAUAUUAAGUCUGUCCUGCCCAAUGAUUUUAUUUAAUGGCCGCAGUAUUUUGACUGUGCGAAGGUAGCAUAAUCAUUUGUCUUUUAAUUGGAGACUGGAAUGAAUGGUUUGAUGAAAGAUUUACUUUAUUURUUUAUAUUAUAUGAAUUUAAUUUUUGUGUUAAAAAGCGUAAAUUAUAUUAAGGGACGAGAAGACCCUAUAGAAUUUUACUUAAUAUGUGAUUUAUUAGUUUUUGUUUAUAAUAUAAAUAUGUUAUAUAUUAAGUUUUGUUGGGGUGACAUAUAUAAUUGUUUAACUAUAUAUAAUUAAGUGGCAUUAAUUAAUGUUUAAUUUGAUCCUUUAUUAAGGAUUAUAAGAUUAAAUUACCUUAGGGAUAACAGCGUAAUUUUACCGGAGAGUUCUUAUUUAUGGUGAAGUUUGCGACCUCGAUGUUGGAUUAAAAUUAUCUAAUGGUGUAGAAGCUUUUAGGGUAAGUCUGUUCGACUUUUUAAUUUUUACAUGAUCGGUUCCCC
rnacentral:rRNA from 1 species